rnacentral:rRNA from 1 species
GACGAACCGUGCGAACGUUAUUCGGAAUCACUGGGCUUAAAGGGUGCGUAGGCGGGCUGGCAAGUCAGGGGUGAAAUCCCACGGCCCAACCGUGGAAGUGCCUCUGAUACUGCUGGCCUCGAGGGGGAUAGGGGCGCGCGGAACUCAGGGUGGAGCGGUGAAAUGCGUAGAUAUCCUGAGGAACACCGGUGGCGAAAGCGGCGCGCUAGAUCCCUUCUGACGCUGAGGCACGAAAGCCAGGGGAGCAAACGGG